rnacentral:rRNA from 1 species
UACGUAGGGUGCAAGCGUUGUCCGGAAUUAUUGGGCGUAAAGAGCUCGUAGGCGGUUUGUCGCGUCUGCUGUGAAAACUCGGGGCUCAACUCCGAGCUUGCAGUGGGUACGGGCAGACUAGAGUGCGGUAGGGGAGACUGGAAUUCCUGGUGUAGCGGUGGAAUGCGCAGAUAUCAGGAGGAACACCGGUGGCGAAGGCGGGUCUCUGGGCCUUACCUGACGCUGAGGCGCGAAAGCUAGGGGAGCGAACAGG